rnacentral:lncRNA from 1 species
GCGCGGCGGCUCUUCGGCCGUUGUCAAGCGAUGAGGCGCGUCUCCCCAUUGCACAGAGGGGGCAACUGAGGCGAACGCAGGCCUCAAGGUCGCGCCGCCAGUCAAGGUCGACUGGGGUCCCGCGCCCGGACCCUACGCCUCCGCGAGCGGAAAUGGGGAUGGCGCGUCCCCGAGACCUAGGAGCAGCCUUGCGUCCGCAUUCCGCGCGGGCAAACACCACGUCGCGUCCUACCAGGCAAUGUCAGGAAGGAGGUUGCCUUUGAGCAUCGCUGUUUUCUCUAACGAGGAGGAAGCCAUUAAAACAGGAGCCUGGCCAGGCUCUUACCUGUGAAGAUGCAUUAUGCACAUUUUGCCCUCUUACUCUUUUUGAAUCUCUGCUCCUGGUCUUUCCCUGCCCCCGCCCCGCCCAGCUCCUACCGCCCCCGCCUCGGGGCUGAAUUGUGCUUUGAUUUUUGGGUGAAAGAUAAGUCACAAUUUAAAAGCGAAUUUCUUCAGGCAAAGACAUUAAUAAUACUUUAAUUAAAAUGCACUUGUAGGCCAGGCGCGGUGGCUCAUACCUGGCGCUUUAGGAGGCGCGGAGGCCAAGGCCGGGGAGGAUCGCUUCAUCUUAGGAGUUCGACACCGGCCACCAGCCUGGGCAUCUUAGAGAGACGCCGUCUCUACAAAAAA